UGGGGAAUUUUGGACAAUGGGCGCAAGCCUGAUCCAGCAAUGCCGCGUGAGUGAAGAAGGCCUUCGGGUUGUAAAGCUCUUUCAGUCGAGAAGAAAAGGUUGUGACUAAUAAUCAUAACUCAUGACGGUAUCGACAGAAGAAGCACCGGCUAACUACGUGCCAGCAGCCGCGGUAAUACGUAGGGUGCGAGCGUUAAUCGGAAUUACUGGGCGUAAAGGGUGCGCAGGCGGUUCUGUAAGUCAGAUGUGAAAUCCCCGGGCUUAACCUGGGAACUGCGUUUGAAACUACAGAGCUAGAGUGUGGCAGAGGGGGGUGGAAUUCCAUGUGUAGCAGUGAAAUGCGUAGAGAUAUGGAAGAACAUCGAUGGCGAAGGCAGCCCCCUGGGUUAACACUGACGCUCAUGCACGAAAGCGUGGGGAGCAAACAGG
rnacentral:rRNA from 1 species